AGAGUUUGAUCCUGGCUCAGGACGAACGCUGGCGGCAGGCCUAAUACAUGCAAGCCGAACGGCAAGUUAGAUAGCAAUAUUUGACCUAGAGUGGCGUAAGGGUGCGUAACACGUAUGCAAUCUGCCCUGNUACAGGGGAAUAGCUCGGUGAAAACCGGAUUAAUGCCCCGNUAAUAUAAUUGAGAGGCAUCUCUUGNAUUAUUAAAGUUGAGGCGGUACAGGAUGAGCAUGCGCAUGAUUAGUUAGUUGGCGGGGUAACGGCCCACCAAGACGAUGAUCAUUAGGGGAACUGAGAGGUUGAUCCCCCACACUGGCACUGAGAUACGGGCCAGACUCCUACGGGAGGCAGCAGUAGGGAAUAUUGGACAAUGGGUGCAAGCCUGAUCCAGCCAUGCCGCGUGCAGGAAGAAGGCCUUCUGGGUUGUAAACUGCUUUUACUAGGGGAUAAAAAGCUCAUGCGUGAGAAAUUGAAGGUACCUGGUGAAUAAGCCACGGCUAACUACGUGCCAGCAGCCGCGGUAAUACGUAGGUGGCAAGCGUUGUCCGGAUUUAUUGGGUUUAAAGGGUGCGUAGGCGGUUCUAUAAGUCAGUGGUGAAAUCCGGCAGCUCAACUGUCGAUGUGCCAUUGAUACUGCAGAACUUGANNUACAGACGAGGUAUGCGGGAAUUGACGGUGUAGCGGUGAAAUGCUUA
rnacentral:rRNA from 1 species